rnacentral:rRNA from 1 species
GUGUCAGCAGCCGCGGUAAUACGUAGGUGGCAAGCGUUGUCCGGAUUUACUGGGCGUAAAGGAUGUGUAGGCGGAUAUUUAAGUGAGAUGUGAAAUCCCCGGGCUUAACUUGGGGGCUGCAUUUCAAACUGGAUGUCUAGAGUGCAGGAGAGGAGAACGGAAUUCCUAGUGUAGCGGUGAAAUGCGUAGAGAUUAGGAAGAACACCAGUGGCGAAGGCGGUUCUCUGGACUGUAACUGACGCUGAGGCACGAAAGCGUGGGGAGAAAACAGGAUUAGAUACCCUGGUAGUCCACGCCGUAAACGAUGAGUACUAGGUGUAGGAGGUAUCGACCCCUUCUGUGCCGCAGUAAACACAAUAAGUACUCCGCCUGGGAAGUACGAUCGCAAGAUUAAAACUUAAAGGAAUUGGCGG